rnacentral:rRNA from 1 species
UACGGGGGGGGCAAGCGUUGUUCGGAAUUACUGGGCGUAAAGGGCUUGUAGGUGGCCAACUAAGUCAGACGUGAAAUCCCUCGGCUUAACCGGGGAACUGCGUCUGAUACUGGAUGGCUAGAGUUUGGGAGAGGGAUGCGGAAUUCCAGGUGUAGCGGUGAAAUGCGUAGAUAUCUGGAGGAACACCGGUGGCGAAGGCGGUUGGCUGGGCCACAACUGACACUGAUGCGCGACAGCGUGGGGAGCAAACAGG